UACGUAGGGGGCAAGCGUUGUCCGGAAUCAUUGGGCGUAAAGCGCGUGUAGGCGGCCCAGUAAGUCCGCUCUGAAAGCCCGGGGCUCAACCCCGGGAGGCGGGUGGAUACUGCUGGGCUCGAGUCCGGAAGAGGCGAGUGGAAUUCCUGGUGUAGCGGUGAAAUGCGCAGAUAUCAGGAGGAACACCAAUGGCGAAGGCAGCUCGCUGGGACGUGACUGACGCUGAGACGCGAAAGCGUGGGGAGCAAACAGG
rnacentral:rRNA from 1 species